rnacentral:rRNA from 1 species
AUUGAACGCUGGCGGCAGGCUUAACACAUGCAAGUCGAGCGGGGUGAUGGUGCUUGCACUAUCACUUAGCGGCGGACGGGUGAGUAAUGCUUAGGAAUCUGCCUAUUAGUGGGGGACAACAUCUCGACAGGGAUGCUAAUACCGCAUACGUCCUACGGGAGAAAGCAGGGGAUCACUUGUGACCUUGCGCUAAUAGAUGAGACUAAGUCGGAUUAGCUAGUUGGUGGGGUAAAGGCCUACCAAGGCGACGAUCUGUAGCGGGUAUGAGAGGAUGAUCCGCCACACUGGGACUGAGACACUGCCCAGACACCUACGGGAUGCAGCAGUGGGGAAUAUUGGACAAUGGGGGGAACCCUGAUCCAGCCAUGCCGCGUGUGUGAAGAAGGCCUUAUGGUUGUAAAGCACUUUAAGCGAGGAGGAGGCUCUUUUGGUUAAUACCCAAGAUGAGUGGACGUUACUCGCAGAAUAAGCACCGGCUAACUCUGUGCCAGCAGCCGCAGUAA